rnacentral:rRNA from 1 species
UACGGGGGGGGCAAGCGUUGCUCGGAAUUACUGGGCGUAAAGGGCUCGUAGGCGGCCAACUAAGUCAGACGUGAAAUCCCUCGGCUUAACCGGGGAACUGCGUCUGAUACUGGGUGGCUUGAAUCCGGGAGAGGGAUGCGGAAUUCCAGGUGUAGCGGUGAAAUGCGUAGAUAUCUGGAGGAACACCGGUGGCGAAGGCGGCAUCCUGGACCGACACUGACGCUGAGGAGCGAAAGCCAGGGGAGCAAACGGG